rnacentral:rRNA from 1 species
GAUCCUGGCUCAGGACGAACGCUGGCGGCGUGCCUAACACAUGCAAGUCGAACGGAGUCGGCCCCGCAAGGGACUGACUUAGUGGCGAACGGGUGAGUAACGCGUGAGCAACCUGCCUUUCAGUGGGGGACGAACAGUUGGAAACGACUGCUAAUACCGCAUAAAGCAUUUUGACCGCAUGGUCGAGAUGCCAAAGAUUUAUUGCUGAAAGAUGGGCUCGCGUCUGAUUAGAUAGUUGGUG